rnacentral:rRNA from 1 species
GUAGCGGUGAAAUGCUUAGAUNUCACGAAGAACUCCGAUUGCGAAGGCAGCUUGCUGGACUGUAACUGACGCUGAGGCACGAAAGCGUGGGGAUCAAACAGGAUUAGAUACCCUGGUAGUCCACGCCGUAAACGAUGANUGCUAGCUGUUAGCGAUAUACUGUUAGCGGCACAGAGAAAUCGUUAAGCAUUCCACCUGGGGAGUACGCCGGCAACGGUGAAACUCAAAGGAAUUGACAGGGGCCCGCACAAGCGGAGGAACAUGUGGUUUAAUUCGAUGAUACGCGAGGAACCUUACCUGGGCUUAAAUUGCAGUGGAAUAACGUGGAAACAUGUUAGCCUUCGGGCCGCUGUGAAGGUGCUGCAUGGUUGUCGUCAGCUCGUGCCGUGAGGUGUCGGCUUAAGUGCCAUAACGAGCACAACCCUCAUCGAUAGUUACUAACAGGUUAAGCUGAGGACUCUAUCGAGACUGCCGACGUAAGUCGUGAGGAAGGUGGGGAUGACGUCAAAUCAGCACGGCCCUUACGUCCAGGGCUACACACGUGUUACAAUGGGGGGUACAAAGGGCAGCUACCUGGCGACAGGAUGCUAAUCUCUAAAACCUCUCUCAGUUCGGAUUGGAGUCUGCAACCCGACUCCAUGAAGCUGGAUUCGCUAGUAAUCGCGCAUCAGCCACGGCGCGGUGAAUACGUUCCCGGGCCUUGUACACACCGCCCGUCAAGCCAUGGGAGCCGGGGGGACCUGAAGUAUGCAACCGUAAGGAGCGUCCUAGGGUAAAACUGGUGACUGGGGCU